rnacentral:rRNA from 1 species
AGAACGAACGCUGGCGGCAUGCCUAAUACAUGCAAGUCGAACGAGAUCUUCGGGUCUAGUGGCGCACGGGUGCGUAACGCGUGGGAAUCUACCCUUGGGUUCGGAAUAACAGUUGGAAACGACUGCUAAUACCGGAUGAUGACGAAAGUCCAAAGAUUUAUCGCCCAGGGAUGAGCCCGCGUAGGAUUAGCUAGUUGGUGAGGUAAAGGCUCACCAAGGCUACGAUCCUUAGCUGGUCUGAGAGGAUGAUCAGCCACACGGGGACUGAGACACGGCCCAGACUCGUACGGGAGGCAGCAGUAGGGAAUA